rnacentral:rRNA from 1 species
UCGCGGUAUGGGAUGGGGUCGCGUCCUAUCAGCUUGACGGCGGGGUGACGGCCCACCGUGGCUUCGACGGGUAGCCGGCCUGAGAGGGCGACCGGCCACAUAGGGACAGAGAUACGGCCCAGACUCCUACGGGAGGCAGCAGUGGGGAAUAACGCACAAUGGGCGCAAGCCUGAUGCAGCCACGCCGCGUGAGGGAUGCAGGCCUUCGGGUUGUAAACCUCUAUUAUCGGGGAGCCAGCGAGAGUGAGUUUACCCGUUGAAUAAGCACCGGCUAACUACGUGCCAGCAGCCGCGGUAAUACGUAGGGUGCAAGCGUUAUCCGGAAUUAUUGGGCGUAAAGGGCUCGUAGGCGGUUCGUCGCGUCCGGUGUGAAAGUCCAUCGCUUAACGGUGGAUCCGCGCCGGGUACGGGCGGG